UUACUAAGGAUUGAAGUAAGAAGC
rnacentral:piRNA from 1 species